UGGGGAAUAUUGGACAAUGGGGGCAACCCUGAUCCAGCAAUGCCGCGUGUGUGAAGAAGGUCUUCGGAUUGUAAAGCACUUUCGACGGGGACGAUGAUGACGGUACCCGUAGAAGAAGCCCCGGCUAACUUCGUGCCAGCAGCCGCGGUAAUACGAAGGGGGCUAGCGUUGCUCGGAAUGACUGGGCGUAAAGGGCGUGUAGGCGGUUUACACAGUCAGAUGUGAAAUCCCCGGGCUUAACCUGGGAGCUGCAUUUGAUACGUGUAGACUAGAGUGUGAGAGAGGGUUGUGGAAUUCCCAGUGUAGAGGUGAAAUUCGUAGAUAUUGGGAAGAACACCGGUGGCGAAGGCGGCAACCUGGCUCAUGACUGACGCUGAGGCGCGAAAGCGUGGGGAGCAAACAGGAUUAGAUACCCUGGUAGUCCACGCUGUAAACGAUGUGUGCUAGAUGUUGGGUAACUUUGUUAUU
rnacentral:rRNA from 1 species